rnacentral:rRNA from 1 species
UACAGAGGGGGCGAGCGUUGUUCGGAAUUACUGGGCGUAAAGGGCGCGUAGGCGGCCAACUAAGUCAGACGUGAAAUCCCCAGGCUCAACCUGGGAACUGCGUCUGAUACUGGAUGGCUUGAAUCCGGGAGAGGGAUGUGGAAUUCCAGGUGUAGCGGUGAAAUGCGUAGAUAUCUGGAGGAACACCGGUGGCGAAGGCGGCAUCCUGGACCGGUAUUGACGCUGAGGCGCGAAAGCCAGGGGAGCAAACGGG